rnacentral:rRNA from 3 species
GACGAACCGUGCGAACGUUGUUCGGAAUCACUGGGCUUAAAGGGCGCGUAGGCGGGUGUGCAAGUCUGUGGUGAAAGCCUCCAGCUUAACUGGAGAAGUGCCGUGGAUACUGCACAUCUUGAGGAGGGUAGGGGCAUCUGGAACGGUCGGUGGAGCGGUGAAAUGCGUUGAUAUCGACCGGAACUCCGGUGGCGAAGGCGAGGUGCUGGACCCUUUCUGACGCUGAGGCGCGAAAGCCAGGGGAGCAAACGGG